rnacentral:lncRNA from 1 species
UGAUGUAUGAUCAAAUUAAUGGGGAAAAAAAAUAGGAGUAAAAUUUGUCUCUUGUUUCUGCAGAAAUUUCUCUUGAAUUGAUUGGUUUUGUUCACCAUUUCGAUUCAACUGUGCUACUCUUCGACAUCACUUUCUUUGAAAAAAAUCUGGUUCUUGAGAUUACAGCACAAUGAGCUGGUAGUGACUUAUAAAGUGGUAUUUAUUUAAAGAAGUUGUGCUAGUUCGUUAGUUUCCAUUGUAGCUACAAGAUCAGUUUGCAUGUUUUCUGAUAUGUCGCUGUAUAAAUUCAUACAGCUUAAUGUUUGAAUUUAGGAGUGCGAUUUCGAGACGAGGUAUGAAAAAGGAAUUCGCUUGAGUUGACAAUGACAACGACAUAAAUAGCGAUGACAAGAAAUAGGCAUUUUGCCAAUUUGAUGUUGAACGGAAGCGGGAGAAAACACUUGAAGG